CGCGUAGGCGGACAGUUAAGUCGGGGGUGAAAGCCCGGGGCUCAACCUCGGAAUUGCCUUCGAUACUGGCUGUCUUGAGUACGGGAGAGGUGUGUGGAACUCCGAGUGUAGAGGUGAAAUUCGUAGAUAUUCGGAAGAACACCAGUGGCGAAGGCGACACACUGGCCCGUUACUGACGCUGAUGCGCGAAAGCGUGGGGAGCAAACAGGAUUAGAUACCCUGGUAGUCCACGCCGUAAACGAUGAGUGCUAGUUGUCGGCAUGCAUGCAUGUCGGUGACGCAGCUAACGCAUUAAGCACUCCGCCUGGGGAGUACGGUCGCAAGAUUAAA
rnacentral:rRNA from 1 species